rnacentral:lncRNA from 1 species
AAUCUAAGUAAUUUAGUUUCCAUUUUAUAAUAAGGAAAAGAUGGCCCCAGGCUCACAGUUACCAUUUUCUUGAAGGGAUGCUGGAUGUCAAAGCCUGCCUGGGAGCUCAGAGAGACAUAAUGCACUGCUGGACCACAGGCAGUUCAGGUGGGAAAAUCAGGAGUGAGGAGGAGCACAGCAUGGGUACUUGGACUCAGAAGGUCUUUUCCCUGUGGGGGGGACACAGGAUCCCAUACAGAUUGAACUCUACCUGUUCUUACACCUCUUCCUCCUCUCUGGCAGGAAGGCAGCUGGGUGUGGCUGAAUUAGAGUCAUGGCUGAGGGCUGAGAGAGAUGUGAUGGAGCCAUGCACCCACAGAUGUGGAGCCCACAUCUCCAGGGUUUAGGUGGCACGAAGGACAGCUGGCAGCAGAGGCAGUGCAGAUGCAGGACAACAGGAUCAUGUUAGAGGCAGGGGAUGGAUGCUCAGGGGCACAGACCUGCUCAUGUUGUCGUGGCUGCUCAGAGCUCAGGGCUGCCCUGCCCACCUUUGGCCAGAGGAGUCUGCAGGUCACUUCAGUCAGGGAUAUUCAAAGUGGAAAUCUUUCUCUCCAUCUGGGGAAUUGCUUGGUGUCGACUGACAAGGAAAUGGAAGUGCCUAGCAGCAACGAGGACCCUGUUGUGUUCACAGCUGGAACUGCUAAAGGACAGUCCCGGGAUGACAGAGACCUUCACAGAAACCUCACUUCAGUGGGCUGCAACAAACGCUGCUGACAACAGCUCCUAGUGUUUGAAUUACUUUUAGCUUACAACAAAAAGACUUUGUGCCAAAAUUCUUUCCUAGGACCUAACUGGUGCCAAAGGUCUUUCCCUCAAAACCAGUAGCUAAUGAGUGCUCUAGCAGAGUCCAGAAGAGAGGAAAAAUGGCUUGCAAGUCUGAGAACCGUGAGUUUCUACACUGUGCCUGAGUAAAAGUUCAUAUGAGCAUCAUAUUCUUCUCAGAAUAAAAGAAGCAAAAUGAGAAGUAUUGAAUAGAAA